ACACAUGCAAAGUUCCCGCACCCCUGUGAGAAUGCCCUUUACAUCCGGCAGGAAGAAAGGAGCGGGCAUCAGGCACACCCUCGUAGCCCAAAACGCCUUGCUUAGCCACACCCCCAAGGGAAAUCAGCAGUGACAAACAUUAAGCCAUUAGCGAAAGCUUGACUUAGUUAGAGCUAAGAGGGCCGGUAAAACUCGUGCCAGCAACCGCGGUUAUACGAGAGGCCCAAAUUGACGCACCACGGCGUAAAGUGUGAUUAGAGAUCAACCCAGACUAAAGCCGAACACCCCUUAUGCUGUCAUACGCCAUGGGGGUCACGAAGCUCAACAGCGAAAGUGGCUUUAUGAAUCUUGAACUCACGACAGCUAGGACACAAACUGGGAUUAGAUACCCCACUAUGCUUAGCCUUAAACCAAGGUGAUUUACCCUACAAACUUCACCCGCCAGGGAACUACGAGCCCCAGCUUAAAACCCAAGGGACUUGGCGGUGCCUCAAAACCACCUAGAGGAGCCUGUCCUAUAACCGAUAAUCCCCGUUAAACCUCACCCCUCCUUGCUAAUUCCGCCUAUAUACCGCCGUCGCCAGUUUACCUUGUGAAGGAAAAACAGUAAGCAAAAUGGGCAACACCCAACACGUCAGGUCGAGGUGUAGCGAAUGGAGGGGGAAGAGAUGGGCUACAUUUUUCUGAGAACAGAACACUACGAAGAGCGCAAUGAAACGUGCACGGCCGA
rnacentral:rRNA from 1 species